GUGGAUGUAGCUCAGUUGGUAGAGCCCCUGGUUGUGGUCCAGGAUGUCGUGGGUUCGAGCCCCAUCGUUCACCCCA
rnacentral:tRNA from 1 species